CAGCCGCCGCGGGAAUACGAAGGGGGCUAGCGUUGUUCGGAUUAACUGGGCGUAAAGGGCGCGUAGGCGGGUUUUUAAGUCAGAGGUGAAAUCCCAAGGCUCAACCUUGGAACUGCCUUUGAUACUGGAAGUCUUGAGUCCGGGAGAGGUGAGUGGAACUGCGAGUGUAGAGGUGAAAUUCGUAGAUAUUGUGAAGAACACCGGUGGCGAAGGCGGCGACCUGGUCCAUAACUGACGCUGAGGCGCGAAAGCGUGGGGAGCAAACAGGAUUAGAGACCCGAGUAGUCCCUGUCUCUUAUAC
rnacentral:rRNA from 1 species